rnacentral:rRNA from 1 species
GAUGAACGCCUGCGUCUUGCCUAAUACAUGCAAGUCUAGCUAACAGACUAGGAGCUUGCUCCUCUGACGUUAGCGGCGUACGGGUGAGUAACACGUGGAUAACCUACCUAUCAGACUGGGUUUACUUCGGGAAACCGGCGCUAAUACCGGAUAAUAUAUUGAACCGCAUGGUUCAAUAGUGAAAGACGGUUUUGCUUUCACUUAUAGAUGGAUCCUCGCCGCAUUAGCUAGUUGGUAAGGUAACGGCUUACCAAGGCAACGAUGCGUAGCCGACCUGAGAGGGUGAUCGGCCACACUGGAACUGAGACACGGUCCAGAAGCAGACGGGAGGCGGCAGUAGGGAAACGUCCGCAAUGGGCGAAAGCCUGACGGAGCAACGCCGCGUGAGUGAUGAAGGUCAACGGAUAGUAAAACGCUGUUAUUAGGGAAGAACAAAUGUGUAAGUAACUAGGCACGUCUUGACGGUACCUAAACAGAAAGCCAAGGAUAACUACGAG